rnacentral:rRNA from 1 species
AUUGAACGCUGGCGGCAGGCCUAACACAUGCAAGUCGAGCGAGCGGCGGACGGGUGAGUAAUGUAUGGGGACUGCCCGCUCGAGGGGGAUAACUACUGGAAACGGUGGCUAAUACCGCAUACUAUCGGAUACCCCAUAUGUGAUUAGCUAGUAGGUGGGGUAAAGGCUCACCUAGGCGACUAUCUCUACCUGGGCUGAGGGGAGGAUCAGCCACACGGGGACUGAGACACGGACCAGACUCCUACGGAGGCAGAAGUGGGGAAUAUUGUACAAUGGGAGCAAGACUGAUGCACCCACGCCGCGUGUAUGAAGAAGGCCUGAGGGUUGUAAAGCACCCUCAGCGGGGAGGCGUUACCCGCAGAAGAAGCACCGGCUAACUCCGUGCCAGCAGCCGCGGUAAUUC